AGAGUUUGAUCCUGGCUCAGAGUGAACGCUGGCGGCGUGGAUUAGGCAUGCAAGUCGUGCGAUCUUUGUUCGAAACUUAUUGAAGUGCUUGCACGGAUUUAAGUUUUGGACGCUAGAUAGCGGCAAACGGGUGAGUAACGCGUGAGCAACUUUCCCUUGAGAUAGGAAUAGUCUUGUGAAAACGAGAGUAAUACCUAAUAGUAUCAAAGAAUCACAUGAGUCUUUGAUUAAAGGUGGGGAUCUUCGGACCUACCGCUCGAGGAUGGGCUCGCGUCCUAUCAGCUUGUUGGUGAGGUAACAGCUCACCAAGGCUUAUGACGGGUAGCCGGCCUGAGAGGGCGAUCGGCCACACUGGGACUGAGACACUGCCCAGACUCCUACGGGAGGCUGCAGUCGAGAAUAUUUAGCAAUGGACGAAAGUCUGACUAUGCGACGCCGCGUGCAGGAUGAAGGUUUUCGGAUUGUAAACUGCUUUUAUUAGGAAAGAAACCUUGUCGGUUAAUAUCCGGCAAGCUGACAGUACCUGAUGAAUAAGCCACGGCUAACUCCGUGCCAGCAGCCGCGGUAAUACGGAGGUGGCAAGCGUUACUCGGAAUUAUUGGGUGUAAAGGGCAAGUAGGCGGUUUAUUAAGCGAGGGGUGAAAUCUUCCGACUCAGUCGGAAAACGGCCUUUCGAACUGGUAGACUUGAGGUAGGUAGAGGGAAGUGGAAUUUCCGGUGUAAGGGUGAAAUCUGUAGAUAUCGGAAAGAACACCAACGGCGAAGGCAACUUCCUGGGCCUAUCCUGACGCUAAAUUGCGAAAGCUAGGGGAGCAAACAGAAUUAGAUACUCUGGUAGUCCUAGCUGUAAACGAUGAGUACUAGGUGUCGGAUCGUAAGAUUCGGUGCCGCAGCUAACGCAUUAAGUACUCCACCUGGGGACUACGGUCGCAAGGCUAAAACUCAAAGGAAUUGACGGGGGCCCGCACAAGCGGUGGAACAUGUGGUUUAAUUCGAUGAUACGCGAAGAACCUCACCAAGGCUUGACAUAUAAGAAGUAGUGAACCGAAAGGGGAACGAGUCGUCAAGUCCGACAACUUAUACAGGUGCUGCAUGGCUGUCGUCAGCUCGUGUCGUGAGAUGUUGGGUUAAGUCCCGCAACGAGCGCAACCAUUGCCCUAUGUUGCCACCACAUUUUAACCUUCGGGUUAAAUGUGAGCACUCUUAGGGGACUGCCCGGGAUAACCGGGAGGAAGGUGGAGAUGACGUCAAGUCAGUACGGCCCUUAUGCCUUGGGCUACACACGUGUUACAAUGGUCGAUACAAAGGGUUGCCAACCCGUGAGGGGGAGCUAAUCUCUAAAAAUCGACCCCAGUUCAGAUUGGAGUCUGCAAUUUGACUCCAUGAAGCCGGAAUCGCUAGUAAUGGGAGAUCAGCACGCUCCCGUGAAUACGUUCCUGGGCCUUGUACACACCGCCCGUCAAGCGAUGAGAGCCGGGGGUACCCGAAGUCCUAUGUAGAUAGGCCGAAGGUAAAUCUGGUGACUGGCGCUAAGUCGUAACAAGGUA
rnacentral:rRNA from 1 species